UGGGGAAUUUUGGACAAUGGGCGAAAGCCUGAUCCAGCAAUGCCGCGUGUGUGAAGAAGGCCUUCGGGUUGUAAAGCACUUUUGUCCGGAAAGAAAUCCUUGGCUCUAAUACAGUCGGGGGAUGACGGUACCGGAAGAAUAAGCACCGGCUAACUACGUGCCAGCAGCCGCGGUAAUACGUAGGGUGCAAGCGUUAAUCGGAAUUACUGGGCGUAAAGCGUGCGCAGGCGGUUUGCUAAGACCGAUGUGAAAUCCCCGGGCUCAACCUGGGAACUGCAUUGGUGACUGGCAGGCUAGAGUAUGGCAGAGGGGGGUAGAAUUCCACGUGUAGCAGUGAAAUGCGUAGAGAUGUGGAGGAAUACCGAUGGCGAAGGCAGCCCCCUGGGCCAAUACUGACGCUCAUGCACGAAAGCGUGGGGAGCAAACAGGAUUAGAUACCCUGGUAGUCCACGCCCUAAACGAUGUCAACUAGUUGUUGGGGAUUCAUUUCCUUAGUAACGUAGCUAACGCGUGAAGUUGACCGCCUGGGGGAGUACGGUCGCAAGAUUAAAACUUAAAUGAAUUGACGGGGUC
rnacentral:rRNA from 1 species